AGAGUUUGAUCCUGGCUCAGGAUGAACGCUAGCGGCAAGGCUUAAUACAUGCAAGUCGAACGGGAUUCGGGGUAGCAAUACUUUGGUGAGAGUGGCGCACGGCUGCGUAAUGCGUAUGCAACAUACCUUUAACAGGGGAAUAGCCCCGAGAAAUCGGGAUUAAUACUCCGUAACAUUGCGGUGUGGCAUCACACUGCACUUAAAGCUGAGGCGGUUAAAGAUGGGCAUGCGUGACAUUAGCUAGUUGGUGAGGUAACGGCUCACCAAGGCAACGAUGUCUAGGGGUCCUGAGAGGGUUAUCCCCCACACUGGUACUGAGACACGGACCAGACUCCUACGGGAGGCAGCAGUAAGGAAUAUUGGUCAAUGGGCGCAAGCCUGAACCAGCCAUGCCGCGUGCAGGAAGACGGCCCUAUGGGUUGUAAACUGCUUUUAUCAGGGAAUAAACCCCCGCUCGUGAGCGGGGCUGAAGGUACCUGAAGAAUAAGCAUCGGCUAACUCCGUGCCAGCAGCCGCGGUAAUACGGAGGAUGCAAGCGUUAUCCGGAUUCAUUGGGUUUAAAGGGUGCGCAGGCGGAUUGGUAAGUCAGGGGUGAAAUCCCACAGCUCAACUGUGGAACUGCCUUUGAUACUGUCAGUCUAGAGUAUAGUUGAAGUUGGCGGAAUGUGUCAUGUAGCGGUGAAAUGCUUAGAUAUGACACAGAACACCGAUCGCGAAGGCAGCUAGCUAAGCUAUAACUGACGCUCAUGCACGAAAGCGUGGGGAUCAAACAGGAUUAGAUACCCUGGUAGUCCACGCUGUAAACGAUGAUCACUCGAUGUUGGCGAUACACAGUCAGCGUCUGAGCGAAAGCAAUAAGUAAUCCACCUGGGGAGUACGAUCGCAAGAUUGAAACUCAAAUGAAUUGACGG
rnacentral:rRNA from 1 species